rnacentral:rRNA from 1 species
GGGCCCGCACAAGCGGUGGAGCAUGUGGUUUAAUUCGAUGAUACGCGAGGAACCUUACCAGGGUUUAAAUGCAGAACGACAGGGGUGGAAACACCCCCUUCUUCGGACGGACUGCAAGGUGCUGCAUGGUUGUCGUCAGCUCGUGCUGUGAAGUGUCGGGUUAAGUCCCAUAACGAGCGCAACCCCCAUUUCUAGUUGCCAGCGGUUCGGCCGGGGACUCUAGAGAAACUGCCAGCGUAAGCUGUGAGGAAGGUGGGGGAUGACGUCAAAUCAUCACGGCCCUUACAUCCUGGGCCACACACGUGCUACAAUGGUGGGGACAACAGGUUGCCAACCCGCGAGGGUGAG